rnacentral:rRNA from 1 species
AUUGAACGCUAGCGGCAUGCUUUACACAUGCAAGUCGAACGAGUGGCGGACGGGUGAGUAAUAUCUCGGAACGUGCCCAAUAGCGGGGGAUAACUACUCGAAACAGUGGCUAAUACCGCAUACUAUUAGAUGGGCCGAUAUGGGAUUAGCUAGUUGGUGGGGUAAUGGCUCACCAAGGCAACGAUCCGUAGCUGGUUUGAGAGGACGACCAGCCACACUGGGACUGAGACACGGUCCAGACUCCGACGGGAGGCAGCAGUGGGGAAUAUUGGACAAUGGGGGAAAGCCUGAUGCAGCCAUGCCGCGUGUAUGAGAAGGCCUUCGGGUUGUAAAGUACUUUGGGCAGAGAAGCGGUAUUUGCAGAAGAAGCACCGGCUAACUACGUGCCAGCAGCCGCGGUAAUUC